rnacentral:tRNA from 3 species
CUCUCAUACGAGCUCCUGGCGGUUCAUUCAUUUGACCAUAGACUAGAGCCACUUUGG